rfam:Micromonospora echinofusca strain DSM 43913 genome assembly, chromosome: I
CUUCAGCGAUCCCAGCCACAGCGGCCGGUCGGCGGGCCGUCCCUGGCCGUACGUGGCGAGCAGCGCCUGCGCCUC